GGCAGGCUUAACACAUGCAUGUCGAGCGGUAGCAGAUCUAGCUUGCUAGAUGCUGACGAGCGGCGGACGGGUGAGUAACGCGUAGGAACCUGCCCAGUAGUGGGGGAUAGCCCGGGGAAACUCGGAUUGAUACCGCAUACGCUCUACGGAGGAAAGAGGGGGCUUCGGCUCUCGCUAUUGGAUGGGCCUGCGUGAGAUUAGCUAGUUGGUGAGGUAAUGGCUCACCAAGGCGACGAUCUCUAGCUGGUCUGAGAGGAUGAUCAGCCACACUGGGACUGAGACACGGCCCAGACUCCUACGGGAGGCAGCAGUGGGGAAUAUUGCACAAUGGGCGCAAGCCUGAUGCAGCCAUGCCGCGUGUGUGAAGAAGGCUUUCGGGUUGUAAAGCACUUUCAGUGGGGAGGAAGGCCUCGUAGUUAAUAGCUGCGAGGAUUGACGUUACCCACAGAAGAAGCACCGGCUAACUCCGUG
rnacentral:rRNA from 1 species